GCAUUGGUGAUUCAGUGGUAGAGUUCUCGCCUGCCAGGUGGGAGGCCCGGGUUUGAUUACUGGCCAAAGCA
rfam:TPA: Bos taurus chromosome 5, whole genome shotgun sequence.